rnacentral:rRNA from 1 species
AGAGUUUGAUUCUGGCUCAGGACGAACGCUGGCGGCGUGCCUAACACAUGCAAGUCGAACGGAACUAUUUUGGAGCUUGCUUUGGAAUAGUUUAGUGGCGGACGGGUGAGUAACGCGUGAGUAACCUGCCUCUCAGAGGGGGAUAACGUUCUGAAAAGGACGCUAAUACCGCAUGACAUUGCGGAGCCGCAUGGUUCUGCAAUCAAAGGAGCAAUCCGCUGAGAGAUGGACUCGCGUCCGAUUAGCCAGUUGGCGGGGUAACGGCCCACCAAAGCGACGAUCGGUAGCCGGACUGAGAGGUUGAACGGCCACAUUGGGACUGAGACACGGCCCAG